GACUAGAGUUUGAUCCUGGCUCAGAAUAAACGCUGGCGGCGUGCCUAACACAUGCAAGUCGAACGAGAAAGGCUUCGGCCGAGUAAAGUGGCGUACGGGUGAGUAACGCGUAGGUAAUCUACCCUUGUGUUUGGAAUAACAGAUCGAAAGGUCUGCUAAUACCGGAUACGACCGGGAGUCGAGAGGCUCCUGGUGAAAGUCGGCCUCUCCUUGGAAGCUGACGCACGAGGAUGAGCCUGCGGCCUAUCAGCUAGUUGGCGGGGUAAAGGCCCACCAAGGCGACGACGGGUAGCUGGUCUGAGAGGAUGAUCAGCCACACUGGCACUGGAACACGGGCCAGACUCCUACGGGAGGCAGCAGUGAGGAAUUUUGCGCAAUGCCGCAAGGCUGACGCAGCAACGCCGCGUGGGUGAAGAAGGCCUUCGGGUCGUAAAGCCCUGUCGGGUGGGAAGAAACCCCGGGGGAGAAUACCCCUCGGGAUUGACGGUACCACCAGAGGAAGCACCGGCUAACUCCGUGCCAGCAGCCGCGGUAA
rnacentral:rRNA from 1 species